rnacentral:rRNA from 1 species
ACGGCCGUACCAUGCUGAAUAUACCGGUUCUCGUUAGAUCAUCGAAGUUAAGCAUCAUUGGGCGCGGUCAGUAUUUGGGUGGGUGACCACCUGGGAA